AGAGUUUGAUCCUGGCUCAGAUUGAACGCUGGCGGCAGGCCUAACACAUGCAAGUCGAGCGGAUGAGAAGAGCUUGCUCUUCGAUUCAGCGGCGGACGGGUGAGUAAUGCCUAGGAAUCUGCCUGGUAGUGGGGGACAACGUUUCGAAAGGAACGCUAAUACCGCAUACGUCCUACGGGAGAAAGCAGGGGACCUUCGGGCCUUGCGCUAUCAGAUGAGCCUAGGUCGGAUUAGCUAGUUGGUGAGGUAAUGGCUCACCAAGGCGACGAUCCGUAACUGGUCUGAGAGGAUGAUCAGUCACACUGGAACUGAGACACGGUCCAGACUCCUACGGGAGGCAGCAGUGGGGAAUAUUGGACAAUGGGCGAAAGCCUGAUCCAGCCAUGCCGCGUGUGUGAAGAAGGUCUUCGGAUUGUAAAGCACUUUAAGUUGGGAGGAAGGGCAUUAACCUAAUACGUUAGUGUUUUGACGUUACCGACAGAAUAAGCACCGGCUAACUCU
rnacentral:rRNA from 1 species